UAGAACCCCGACAGGAUAGCCCCGAUAGG
rnacentral:sRNA from 1 species